rnacentral:rRNA from 1 species
CAGAGGUGGCAAGCGUUGUUCCGGAAUUACUGGGCGUAAAGGGCGCGUAGGCGGCCUUCUAAGUCAGACGUGAAAUCCCCAGGCUUAACUUGGGAACUGCGUCUGAUACUGGAGGGCUCGAGUGCGGGAGAGGGAUGUGGAAUUCCAGGUGUAGCGGUGAAAUGCGUAGAUAUCUGGAGGAACACCGGUGGCGAAGGCGGCAUCCUGGACCGACACUGACGCUGAGGCGCGAAAGCUAGGGGAGCAAACGGGAUUAGAUACCCCGGUAGUCCUAGCCCUAAACGAUGAGUGCUUGGUGUGGCGGGUAUCGAUCCCUGCCGUGCCGAAGCUAACGCAUUAAGCACUCCGCCUGGGGAGUACGGUCGCAAGGCUG